rnacentral:misc_RNA from 1 species
GGAAGUAAAAGUCGUAACAAGGUUUCCGUAGGUGAACCUGCGGAAGGAUCAUUACCACGCCGUGGGGGGCUGGGAGCCUCUGACCGGGACCCCUCCGCCCCCCUACCCGGCCACCCUUGUCUACCGGACCUGUUGCCUCGGCGGGCCUGCAGCGAUGCUGCCGGGGGAGCUUCUCCUCCCCGGGCCCGUGUCCGCCGGGGACACCGCAAGAACCGUCGGUGAACGAUUGGCGUCUGAGCAUGAGAGCGAUAAUAAUCCAGUCAAAACUUUCAACAACGGAUCUCUUGGUUCCGACAUCGAUNAAGAACGCAGCGAAAUGCGAUAAGUAAUGUGAAUUGCAGAAUUCCGUGAAUCAUCGAAUCUUUGAACGCACAUUGCGCCCCCUGGUAUUCCGGGGGGCAUGCCUGUCCGAGCGUCAUUGCAACCCUCAAGCGCGGCUUGUGUGUUGGGCCGUCGUCCCCCCUCGACCGGCGGGACGUGCCCGAAAUGCAGUGGCGGUGUCGAGUUCCGGUGCCCGAGCGUAUGGGGCUUUGCCACCCGCUCUGGAGGCCCGGCCGGCUCCGGCCCACCAUCUCAACCCCCCCCUUUCUCACACCAGGUUGACCUCGGAUCAGGUAGGGAUACCCGCUGAACUUAAGCAUAUCAAUAAGCGGAGGA